AGCAGCCGUACCAUGCUGAAUAUACCGGUUCUCGUUAGAUCACCGAAGUUAAAGCAUCAUUGAGCGCCAGUCAGUACUUGGGUGGGUGACCACCUGGGAGGCACCGCGUGCCGU